UUGCACGCUGGCGGCAGGCCUCACCCCUGCCAGUCGAGCGGAUGAAGGGAGCUUGCUCCUGGAUUCAGCGGCGGACGGGUGGGUAAUGCCUAGGAAUCUGCCUGGUAGUGGGGGAUAACGUCCGGAAACGGGCGCUAAUACCGCAUACGUCCUGAGGGAGAAAGUGGGGGAUCUUCGGACCUCACGCUAUCAGAUGAGCCUAGGUCGGAUUAGCUAGUUGGUGGGGUAAAGGCCUACCAAGGCGACGAUCCGUAACUGGUCUGAGAGGAUGAUCAGUCACACUGGAACUGAGACACGGUCCAGACUCCUACGGGAGGCAGCAGUGGGGAAUAUUGGACAAUGGGCGAAAGCCUGAUCCAGCCAUGCCGCGUGUGUGAAGAAGGUCUUCGGAUUGUAAAGCACUUUAAGUUGGGAGGAAGGGCAGUAAGUUAAUACCUUGCUGUUUUGACGUUACCAACAGAAUAAGCACCGGCUAACUUCGUG
rnacentral:rRNA from 1 species